UACGUAGGGUCCAAGCGUUAUCCGGAAUCACUGGGCGUAAAGCGUGCGUAGGUGGCGCGUUAAGUGAGAUGUUAAAACGUGGGGCUCAACCCUGUCGGUGCAUCUCAUACUGGCGUGCUAGAGGAUAGCAGAGGCAAGUGGAAUUAGCAGUGUAGCAGUGAAAUGCGUAGAUAUUGCUAGGAACACCAAUGGCGAAGGCAGCUUGCUGGGCUACUCCUGACACUGAGGUACGAAAGCGUGGGGAGCGAACAGG
rnacentral:rRNA from 1 species